UCGACCGCCGAUCGAGGUAAAUUUCAUACCCCCGACUCGUUUUUCCACGCUGAUUUCCCCUGUGGCCAAAUCGGAGCCAAAAUCCUGGCCAAAUCGGAGCCAAAAUCUUGGCCAAAUGACUGAAAAACACGGCCGAAACCCAGCGGCGCCGCCGCGUCCCUCCUCGGUUUUUGCCUCCGAUGAGGCCCUUCCCGGCCUCCGUUUGAUGCAAUUUUUAUAUCACCGUGAUCACCAUUCUUUUCUCUACAGGUUGAUCAGAGCCGAAUCACCAAAACACGAACCUCACCGGAGAGCCGCCGCACCCGAGAGCACCGCCGCCGGUAAGCUUCAGUUUU
rnacentral:lncRNA from 1 species